UUUUUUAGAAAUGAAUUUAAUUCAUGCGUCUUAUAUAAUUUCUGUAGUUGUUCUAUUUAUUUUUAUUUGAUGUUAAGAUUAAGGGGGAUUAGCUCUUUAUUUUAUAUUUAUAAUUGGUUUAGUUUUAGUUAAUUUUGUGGAUUUUAUAGUGAUUUUCAAUUUGAUUAUGUUAAAAUUUUAUUUGUUGUUUUAUUUCUUUUUUGUUAUUUAAUUUAUUUAUUGAAAUGUUUUCUUUAUCUUUUUUUGUGUAGUAAUUAUUGUGUAAUUAGUAAAUCUUGCUUUUGUUCUGUUAUUGAGAGUUUGGUGGAUAAUUUCUUUUUAGGAAUUCGGCAAAGAUAUCAUGUCCGCCUGUUUAACAAAAACAUCUUUUCUUGUUAGUUUUUGAAGUAUGGUCUGCCCACUGACUUGUUUAGUUGAAGGGCCGCGGUAUUUUGACCGUGCAAAGGUAGCAUAAUCAUUAGUUCUUUAAUUGUGAUCUGGUAUGAAUGGCUUGACGAGACAUGUACUGUCUUAGGAGUAUUGGUUUGUUGAAUUUGGUUUUUAAGUUAAAAUUCUUAAAUGUUUUUAUGGGACGAGAAGACCCUAUAGAGUUUGACAUUUAGUUCUUGUUGUUUAUUAUUUGUUUGUUUGUUUUUUGUAAUAAGAUUAAUGUUUUGUUGGGGUGAUGGGAGGAAUAUUUUCAACUCCUCUUUGUUUUUGUAUAUUUAUUUAUAUUUGUUUUGAUCC
rnacentral:rRNA from 1 species